UGUGUUUAUAUGGCCUGAUUCAAUGUGUGUGUGUUUAUAUGGCUUGAUCCAGCAUGUAUGUGUGUGUUUAUAUGUCCUGAUCCAGUGUGUGUGUAUAUGUGUGUGUUUAUAUGUCCUGAUCCAGUGUGUGUGUAUAUGUGUGUGUUUAUAUGGCCUGAUCAUGCAUGUGUAUGUGUGUGUGUGUAUGGCCUGAUCCAGCUUGUGUGUCUGUUUGUAUGUAUGUGUGUGUUUAUAUGUCCUGAUCCAGUGUGUGUUUGUUUAUAUGGCCUGAUUCAAUGUGUAUAUGUGUGUGUUUAUAUGGCCUGAUCAUGCAUGUGUGUCUGUUUGUAUGUGUGUGUGUUUAUAUGGCUUGAUCCAGCAUGUGUGUCUGUCUGUAUGAGUGUGUGUUUAUAUGGCCUGAUCCAGCGUGUGUGUGUGUGUAUGGCCUGAUCCAGCUUGUGUGUCUGUUUGUAUGUGUGUGUUUAUAUGGCCUGAUUCAGCAUGUGUGUAUGUGUGUGUGUGUUUAUAUGGCCUGAUCCAGCAUGUGUGUAUGUGUGUGUGUUUAUAUGGCCUGAUCCAGCAUGUGUGUGUGUUUAUAUGGCCUGAUCCAGC